GGUGGUAUAGCCAAGUGGGAAGGCAAAGGUCUGCAAAACCUUGAUCGCCGGUUCGAAUCCGGUUACCACCUUCA
rnacentral:tRNA from 3 species